rnacentral:rRNA from 1 species
UACGUAGGGGCCUAGCGUUGUCCGGAUUUACUGGGCGUAAAGCGUGUGCAGGCGGUGUGACAAGUGGUGUAUGAAAUCUCCGGGCUAAACCUGGAGGGGUUAUGCCAGACUGUCAUUCUAGAGUGCGGCAGAGGGGGAUGGAAUUCCGCGUGUAGCAGUGAAAUGCGUAGAUAUGCGGAGGAACACCGAUGGCGAAGGCAAUCCCCUGGGCCUGCACUGACGCUCAUGCACGAAAGCGUGGGGAGCAAACAGG